AGGCAUUCAGCACCUUUCCAUACAACACCGCCACGACAGAACAAUAGCUUCGUCAAAGUGAUCGCAGCGACGGCAACCCUUCCUCGGUCGGGCGCCCCUGC
rnacentral:lncRNA from 1 species